UGGAGAGUAGAAAAAUAAAACUUUACAAGAAUUGGUGUAUUUCCAGGCACUUCCUUUAACACUUUGUGGCAUCACAGGAGUGCAGAGCUCCCGUCUACAAACUAUACAGACCAGAGCCCCGAGGGAAGCCUGACGCUGAUCAGAAGACCCUGCCAGGUGCCCCUGAGGCUGCAGAAACCAGGCCAGCCCGCGCCUCCUUCCUUCUUCACAUCCCUGUGCAAUUGCGACACCUGUUCUCCCUGGGACAGCUUGCUUAAUGUGGCCUUAAUGUCACUGCCCUUUUCUCUGCUUGAUUUUUUAUCGAGUUCUUUUGAUGAAACAGCCUUCAUGUAGCUACUAGGACCCUCCCCGAGGCCUCAUCAGCAGGAGGGUGGGAAGACGGCACUGCUGUCUCAGUGCUAGGCCACAGCGCUGUGCAUUAGAGGCUGAAGAAGCUUUCAGCUGAAGUGCUGUCUCCGUCAAAUAGCACCGCUUCCAGUCAGAUGAAUGGGAGGAAAGGCUCACACAGCAGGGGGAAAAUGCAUUUUCACAGUGUUCAAUAGUUUUAAAGAGCACACUAACAAAUACAAGUGACAUAACAAAUAUAUAACCAAAAAGAACAACCUUAGCAAGUUCUAACCCUCAUAAAGACAUACUUUCCCCCUGGCUGGUGUGGCUUAGUUGGUUGAACAUUUUCCCAUACACUGAGGGGUUGCAGGUUUGAUUCCCAGUACAGGUGCAUACAGGAGGCAAACAAUUGAUGUUUCUCUUUCUCCCUCUCUAAAAAUCAAUGAAAAUAUAUUUGGGGGGGAAAAAAAGAAAAGAAAAAGCAAUAUUCUUACAGCUCUGUGGCUCGUACACUAAAUGCUACAACUUUUAGCCAAAAUCUUACUGGACAAAAUCACUACAGACAUAGAAAUUUGAUUUUCAGAUCAACGUAGGAUCUUAAUAAAUACAAGGCGUUCAGGGAGGACACGUCUACCAGAAUGAAGUGCUGACGGAGCUUCGUCUAUUUGGUUCAAUGGUUUCCCAGCAUUUUGAACAACACCCAGCGUAUUAAGAAAGCACGCACUGGAAUAUAUUCUGUUCUCAUCUACCAGUAUUUCAAGCCAGACUACUCUUUAAUAUAUGGAAGGACUUUGUGAAAACCUUAGUAAACCCAAACUUUCAGGCUAGGGGCUGAAAGAUGCCAAGCCAGGUCGAUGCCAAUGACUUCUCUGGGGCAAAAGAUUCAGAGUGAGAAUAUACAAAUCCUGCUGCUUGCAUUACUCUCUUUACCCCUUGCCUGAAUUUUCCCGGAAGAAAAUGAUUACUCACUCACCUCCACUGUUACAACACAAGUAAAUGGAAGCUGGAGCCAGAGCAAGGCCAUGAGAGCUGGUAGGAAUGGGGUGUGAUCAUAAUAGCAGGGCAAAGGGUAUCUUCAGCAAAGAAAUAAGAGGACGUAAUUGCUAGUGGCCAAUUAUAGGAGGUGGUGAGCUCGUAGACCUAUGCUCUACCUGAGCUCCUAGACCUAUGCAUCUGCUAUUUUGUUCCUGCCCUCUGGUAAAAAAAGAACAUUCCGUAACUGCUGGGAACCGGGCUGGGGGAAGAGUCCUUGCUGAGUGGGUUUACCGACAGCAUGUUAUAUUUGGAGCCCUGUGCUAACAGGUACAAAAACAACAGAUGACCUGCAUGUGCCUCAAACCACUGGUUCUCAAUGGGGAUGGGUUUAAUCCUCCCACCCCAGGGAUAUUUGGCAAUAUCUGAAGAUGGGUUUAUCACACAGAGGAAGGGGUUGUUGGCAUCUAGUGGGUAUAGGCCAGGGAAACUGCUGAACAUCCUACUACAAUGCACAUGUCAGCCCCACAACCAAGAAACUUCCAGCCCAAGAUGUCAGUAGUGCUGAGGAUGAGAAAAGCUGCCUCAGUGGAACUCACAAAUAGAGGUCUCCUGGCCGGGGGUGGGCGGAGUGGAGGUAGUGUCAAGGGAGACACCAAAUUGUCCUGUUUUUUUUUUUUUUUUUUAAUUAGUGGGAUUAAGGAAGACUGGGGAAGGGCAUUAUUCCUAUAACCUCUUCUGGGUUCAGAUGAAGAGAUUCUGUGGCGAUGUGUGUGGAGCAGUGUCCUGGGAGGAGCACCUAGCUGGGCUGCCAUGUUACACAGAAAGCUGUCUGUCUGACGCUACACCAUCCUGACAGGCUAGGACUCCAGGCACAGAAACACAUCUCACUGAAGACAGACACCACAAGUGGGAUUCUGGGACUUAACCAAGAGACAAGCUGUGCUACAGUAACAGAAGGAAUGUUAUUAAUGGGUUUGUUCUUUUUUCUUUCUUUUUCUUUUAUUGUAUCUAUGUGAGAAGAUGGAAUUUAGCAGAACGUAUUUCACAAUAUAUGUAAUUCAAACCAUCAUGCUGUAUGCCUUAAAUUUGCUGUAUGCCAAUUAUUUUUCAAUAAAACUGGAAAAAAUAUA